rnacentral:rRNA from 1 species
GUGCCAGCCGCCGCGGUAAUACGGAGGGUGCGAGCGUUAAUCGGAAUUACUGGGCGUAAAGCGUACGCAGGCGGUUUGUUAAGCGAGAUGUGAAAGCCCCGGGCUCAACCUGGGAACUGCAUUUCGAACUGGCAAACUAGAGUGUGAUAGAGGGUGGUAGAAUUUCAGGUGUAGCGGUGAAAUGCGUAGAGAUCUGAAGGAAUACCGAUGGCGAAGGCAGCCACCUGGGUCAACACUGACGCUCAUGUACGAAAGCGUGGGGAGCAAACAGG